rnacentral:rRNA from 1 species
AACGUAGGAGACAAACGUUAUCCGGAGUUACUGGGCGUCAAGGGCGUGUAUGUGGUUUAGUAAGUCUGGCGUGAAAUUUUUCGGCUUAACCGGGAAAGGUCGUCGGAUACUGCAAGACUAGAGGACGGUAGAGGCAUGUGGAAUUCCGGGUGUAGUGGUGAAAUGCGUAGAGAUGCGGAGGAAGAGCAGUGGCGAAGGCGACAUGCUGGGCCGUACCUGACACUGAUGCGCGACAGCAUGGGGAGCAAACAGG